GCCUCCUUUACGCAGCAGUGGGGAAUAUUGCACAAUGGGGGAAACCCUGAUUCCUCUCCUCCUCUUUCCUUCUUCCUUCUUUCUUUAUGUAAACUUCUAUCAGCAGGUCCUACAAUGACGGUACCUGACUAAGAAGCCCCGGCUAACUACGUGCCAGCAGCCGCGGUAAUACGUAGGGGGCAAGCGUUAUCCGGAUUUACUGGGGUUCACUUGGGCGCAUACGUCUAUGCAAUCCAGUAUUGAAAGCCCGGGGCCCAACCCCGGGACUGCUCUUGGAACUGCGUGGCUGGAGUGCAGGAGGGGCA
rnacentral:rRNA from 1 species